ACUCUAUAAGUAGGUAAUUUAUAUAACAUCAUAGCAGGUACAGAACUGUUUUUCCUGAACAACUUGCAUUAAAAAAAGUGCUCUUUGUUGAGUUCUUAGGGAUCCAGAAGAUCUUAUUCGCGUGUAUUUGCACUCGGAAGGGUUAUGAUGACUAUAUAAUAAUCAGACAUAGUACGAUAAGGUAGUAUGUCUAAAGGGAAACAGCCCAGAACAAGAGUUAAUAAGGUUCCAAAAUUAUUGUUAAGUGAAAAUAAGGAAGUUUCAAUCAAAUAUGCCCAGGAAAUAGGCUUAGAUGCGGCCAUUUUUUGAAGACCUCGUAACAGAGCACUGGAUUAGUAAGUUAUUUUUAUAAUUUAUAUUGAUAAAAGCACCAAAAAUUUAACGGAUCUAAACAAUAUACCGAGACCUUGUCCAUAUUUAUAUAUAUAUCUAAGUUGUAUAUUGUAUUUAUGGGGUAGCGGAACAUUGGGCAAAUAUAAGAAUUUUUCUUUUUAAGACUUAAGAUAAUAUAACCCAAGCGAUAAUGCUGACAUGAGUAACGAUAAAGGGAAUAAACUAUUCCCUCGCCUAAAACUUAUGGUAUUUACUUAAAGUAACGGCCUCUAAGUUUAUGCACCUAAAGGACUAAACGAUGAGAAAAUCUACUCUACUAAUGAUGAGAAAAUCUACUCUCCUAAAGGAUGAGAAAAUCUACUCUACUAAUGAUGAGAAAAUCUACUCUCCUAAAGGAUGAGAAAAUCUACUCACUGCGAAUAAAUAACCUUUGUGAUGAGACUUAUGCCGCUAUAGACGUAGUAAAGUGUAAGCUUUUUUGCUAAAGUAACAAGGUUCUGGAAAAUUUAAGUAGUGCAUCAUGGACAAUAGGGAGGACGCAAUCUCCUGCCUACCAUGGUGUAAAAAGACCGUACCUAGAAACUACCCCAGUAAGUUAGUAGAGAAUACGAAGGCGUUUGAGUGAAACAUCAUUAAGA
rnacentral:rRNA from 1 species